AAAGUCACCGUCCCUGCUGCUCCCCUCUCUGCGCCGCGCGCCGUGCGUCACGACGUACGUCAGCGUCCGCCACCGGGCGUAACGACGUCGUCGACGUGCCGCUUGUCCUGCCGGAGGAACUUCGGAAGCCCCCGCCCCGGAUGACCUGUCAUGGGCCCAGCAUGUAACUGCAAUUAUGAAAAAUGCACGGCAGCGCCUUUACUUCCUUAGGAGUUUGUGGAGAUUUGGCAUGGCAUCUAAAACUUUGACUAACUUCUAUAGUGGGGAGCAUAUUGACUGGCUGCAACACAGCCAGGUAUGGAAACACCAAGCCCUCGAGUGGAAAGUCCUACAAAAAGUAGUGGAUACGGCCCAGUCCAUCACAAGUAAAGCCCUCCCAACCAUUGAGCACAUCUACAUGAAACACUUUUGCUGGAAAGAAGCAUCCAUCAUCAGCGACUCCCACCCUCCAGACCAAGCUCUCUUAUCACUGCAGCCAUCAGAAAGAAGAUACAGGAGCCUCAGAGCUCGCUCACCAGGUAUCUGUUUUGCGAAUGGAAGUAUAAGGAAGGAGAGUGCUGUCCACUGCUUUUGGAGCUGACACCAUGUUGGCAAAGUCUCUGAGCAGUCAGACCUGGAAGUCCAUGUUUUGACCUCCAAUUUUGUGUUCAGCAGAAGAGAGCAACAUGGCCAACAGUAAAGGUACAUCAUAAAGACUAAGCAACAGUUGAUGGUGAAAACAGAAAGAGAUUUUCUGCAGUAUUUUGUCCUUCGCUAAAUUCUACCGGCAAGGUACACAGUUUGGGAUCUGUGGUUGUUGGGGUUGGUGAUAUCCGGAAUUAAAUCCUCUGCUGUCAACUCGUCCUGCGGCCGGCGCUGUUUCUCUCCUUCGGCCGAGGACCUUGAAGCCAGACACUGAUCUGAAUAGGCCACGGGAAAGAACGAGAAGGAAUAAGACUCGGCACAAUUCCGAAUUCUUUAGCUCUU